GAUGAAGAACGUAGUGAAAUGCGAUAAGUAAUGUGAAUUGCAGAAUUCAGUGAAUCAUCGAAUCUUUGAACGCACAUUGCGCCCCCUGGUAUUCCGGGGGGCAUGCCUGUUCGAGCGUCAUUUCACCACUCAAGCCUCGCUUGGUAUUGGGCAACGCGGUCCGCCGCGUGCCUCAAAUCGUCCGGCUGGGUCUUCUGUCCCCUAAGCGUUGUGGAAACUAUUCGCUAAAGGGUGUUCGGGAGGCUACGCCGUAAAACAACCCCAUUUCUAAGGUUGACCUCGGAUCAGGUAGGGAUACCCGCUGAACUUAAGCAUAUCAUAAGCGGAGGA
rnacentral:misc_RNA from 1 species